rnacentral:rRNA from 1 species
UACGGGGGGAGCAAGCGUUGUUCGGAUUUACUGGGCGUAAAGGGCGCGUAGGCGGCCACCGCAAGUCGGUUGUGAAAUCUCUGGGCUUAACCCAGAAAGGUCAACCGAUACUGCGGGGCUAGAGUGCAGAAGGGGCAACUGGAAUUCUCGGUGUAGCGGUGAAAUGCGUAGAUAUCGAGAGGAACACCUGCGGCGAAGGCGACUACCUGGCCUGUUCUUGACGCUGAGGCGCGAAAGCUAGGGGAGCAAACGGG